rnacentral:rRNA from 1 species
AGUGAACGCUGGCGGUAGGCCUAACACAUGCAAGUCGAACGGCAGCACAGUAAGAGCUUGCUCUUACGGGUGGCGAGUGGCGGACGGGUGAGGAAUACAUCGGAAUCUACUUUUUCGUGGGGGAUAACGUAGGGAAACUUACGCUAAUACCGCAUACGACCUACGGGUGAAAGCAGGGGAUCUUCGGCCCUUGCGCGAUUGAAUGAGCCGAUGUAGGAUUAGCUAGUUGGCGGGGUAAAGGCCCACCAAGGCGACGAUCCGUAGCUGGUCUGAGAGGAUGAUCAGCCACACUGGAACUGAGACACGGUCCAGACUCCUACGGGAGGCAGCAGUGGGGAAUAUUGGACAAUGGGCGCAAGCCUGAUCCAGCCAUACCGCGUGGGUGAAGAAGGUCUUCGGGUUGUAAAGCACUUUUGUUGGGAAAGAAAAGCAGCAGGUUAAUACCCCGCUGUUCUGACGGUACCAAAAGAAUAAGCACCGGCUAACUUCGUG